rnacentral:rRNA from 1 species
GUGGGGAAUCUUAGACAAUGGGGGAAACCCUGAUCUAGCCAUGCCGCGUGAGCGAUGAAGGCCUUAGGGUUGUAAAGCUCUUUCAGCUGGGAAGAUAAUGACGGUACCAGCAGAAGAAGCCCCGGCUAACUCCGUGCCAGCAGCCGCGGUAAUACGGAGGGGGCUAGCGUUGUUCGGAAUUACUGGGCGUAAAGCGCGCGUAGGCGGACCAGAAAGUUGGAGGUGAAAUCCCAGGGCUCAACCUUGGAACUGCCUUCAAAACUCCUGGUCUGGAGUUCGAGAGAGGUGGGUGGAAUUCCGAGUGUAGAGGUGAAAUUCGUAGAUAUUCGGAGGAACACCAGUGGCGAAGGCGGCUCACUGGCUCGAUACUGACGCUGAGGUGCGAAAGCGUGGGGAGCAAACAGGAUUAGAUACCCGGGUAGUCC